AUAAUUUGAAAAUGAAACCAAAUAUAAAUGUGCAGUAAUGGUACAAACGUCGCUUUGUUUCUUUAUGAAUUUGAUUCAAGGUACUGGUAUAGUUGCAGCUGUCAUUUGAGUGUUUGAAAUUUUACCUAACACUUAUUGUGCUUUCUAUUGGUCUCUAAAAACAAUGUUUAGAUUUGUCAUUUUUCUAAACAUUUUUAUUUAUGCUUGUAAGUGCAGUGAAUUCGGGAAUGUCAAAAA